rnacentral:rRNA from 1 species
UACGGAGGGUGCAAGCGUUAAUCGGAAUUACUGGGCGUAAAGCGUGCGCAGGCGGUUUGUUAAGUCUGCUGUGAAAUCCCCGAGCUCAACUUGGGAAUUGCAGUGGAUACUGGCAGGCUGGAGUAUGGUAGAGGAAGGUGGAAUUCCCGGUGUAGCAGUGAAAUGCGUAGAGAUCCGGAGGAACACCAGAGGCGAAGGCGGCCGGCUGGACCUGACCUGACGCUGAGGCACGAAGGCGUGGGGAGCGAACGGG